rnacentral:lncRNA from 1 species
CAGGAUUUUGAAAAAACCUUGGGCUUUGGCAAGAGCCCAGGAGAGGAAGUGUCUGCAUCUGCUACAUUCUAGAAGCCUUCCCAAAGAGUCACUGUAAGGCAGCCAAGAGAACAGUGUAUUUCACUACUGUGUGGUUCUGGAGGAAACUUAGGAGGACUUCCAGCAUGUCAGUUUCUGUGGUGAUCUAUUUUUAUUGAUUCAAGUUAGGAGGAAAAUG